rnacentral:rRNA from 1 species
UACGUAGGGGGCAAGCGUUGUCCGGAUUUAUUGGGCGUAAAGAGCGUGUAGGCGGCUAGGUAGGUCCGUUGUGAAAACUCGAGGCUCAACCUCGAGACGUCGAUGGAAACCAUCUAGCUAGAGUCCGGAAGAGGAGAGUGGAAUUCCUGGUGUAGCGGUGAAAUGCGCAGAUAUCAGGAAGAACACCAGUGGCGAAAGGCGCUCUCUGGGUACGGUGACUGACGCUGAGACGCGAAAGCGUGGGGAGCGAACAGG